CGGCGGGUUGGCUUGCCCUCCGCUGAGUGUUCCUUGCACUUCUGACCGUGGCUGCGCCCCCGGCGGGCUCCUUGGGGCCGGCUUGGCCUCCCACCCUCCAGCGCCCUUCCCUCCGCGGGGCCUGGAACAAGGUUUCUCAGCCGCAUUACGGGCGGUCACCCCGGGUGGCCCCAUCCUGCGGCCCGGCCUGUGCACUGGGGUGCUCAGCAGCUCCCUGGCCUCUGCAGACCCCUAGAUGCCUGCUUCAGCCCCGCCAGCGCUGGGCCUGACGACCACGUGCUGUUGGGAACGAGUGACUUACAACAAGCAGGCUGCGCCCUCCCUCAGCCUUCGCAGAGACGUCCAGACCACCCGUGGUCACUCGGCUGGCGUCUGAGGCCCAGCUGUCCUCCCUCGAGCCCUGUGUGACCCGCCAGUCCAAGGCGAAGACUUACGGGAAACAUCAGUGGAGACGAAUACAAUGGAGAAGGCCCGAAGCACAGAUGGAACACACCUCAGCCUACGACAACAGAGCGGUUUCUAGUCCAUGGGGAAAAGGAUGAAUUGUUCCAUAAUUCUGUUAGAAAAAGCAACUACAUGUGGGGGAAACAGGCUUCAUGUUUUGUACUGACAUAAAUUACAGAUGGAUAAAUACUGAAAUGAAGAAACCAACAAUAUGAAAGCAUUCAGGGAAAAUUGGCAAAUAUAAAAUCUUCGAGAGGGGAACUUUUUAAAGGCCAACACUUAAGUCAGAAGGUAUUUAUUGAAAAAGUUGAUUUGUCUACAUAAAGACUUAAAACUUAGCAUGUAUAAAAUAAAUGUUUUGCUUUAAAAAAGUAUAUAAAAAACAAUAAUCUGUUCUUUAGACUCUCACGGAAAGGUAGGCAGCUGAUACGUGAGACUGCCGUAGGAGUGACCAGGCCCUUCAGAGGAGAGCUGCUGAGCAUGCCUCCCUCCUCUGGUGACUGCAUCUCCACUUUCAUUACUUAAUCCAUGGUGCCUGGGGUUGAGGUGCAGCUGGCUGCACCCCAGGUCCAGAAGUGGGCAAGUGACCUAAGGCCGUCCAGUCAUCAGCAUCCCAUCUGUUGAGCUACACUGAUUGGUUCAGAGGUGGACACGUGACCCAAGUUGAUGAGCGCUACAAGCAGGACUUUUCCGGAUGAGUGGUUCAGUGACCUGAGCAUCACUGUGUAACCAGCAGCAUCCCAUCCACAGAGCUAGCGACUGCUGCAGGGAUGGAUAUAUCCAAGUUGGUGAGAGCUAAAGCCAGGAUUGAUUCUGGGAAUGUUCAGGAGGGAGAGAUUCACCUUCCUUUGAGCUUGGUGGGGGUUUUGUUAUUCCUGCUGCUGCUGCUGUUGCUGCUGCUGCUGCUGCUGCUGCUGCUACUGAUACUGUUGUUUUUGUUUUGAGCUUAGUGUUAUAAAGAUACAGGCCUGGAGUUGUCAAGGGUCAUUUUGUAAAACUCAAAAAGUAAGCAAUGCAGAAAAAGGUAGAUAUACGAGAGAAAGACUGUUUGAAAAAGAUAGCUUGUGGCCUGGUGUGGUGGCAAGCGCUUGUAGUCCCAGCACUCAGAAGGCUGAGGCAGGAGGAUCGCUUUGAGUUUGAGGCCAGCCUGAGCUACAUAGAGAGUUUAAGGCCCACAUGAACUAUGUAGCAAGACCCUGCCUAAAAACAAAACAAAACAAGGGGCGGGGGAUUUAGCUCAGUGGCUCCACACCUGCCCCUCAAGCGAAAGGUCCUGAGUUUUAUCCCAGGUACCGAAAAACAAAACUAAGCAGGGGUGCAUAGUAAGCCUGCAGAAACAAGCCUCUCCAUGGUGACUGUGGAAACACAUCUCCCUCUCUUCAGAGAGCCAUAGCAAAGACCUAUAAGACACAACAAAAAGAUAGCUUACAAGAAUGGAUUCUAACACUUUUUUUUGUACAGGGGAUUGAACUGGGGAACUUGCGCUUGUGAGGCAGGUACGGUGCCAGUGAGCUAAUCCCCAGCCUGAGUCUUGAUUCUAGACAUAGCUAAAAGUAGCUUUCUCUGUGACAUUUCAUCGAGUCCAUCAAUUCUCUUUUUGGUUAAGCAGAUGUGACUGUGACUUGUAAUUGAAAAAGUCUUGGCCAAUUCAUGGAAUACUGUACA